AAACAAGGCUGUAAAAUGAGGUGACCACGCACGGAGAACAAAGUUCACAUCUUUCAACUCGCAAAAGUCGCCGCGUGAAGACCAAGGUGCCGCUUCGGGCAGGAAGAAGGAUAUUGCCUGACCAGCUCAGUGUUCCCCGAACUAUUUGUUUUGGAUUCCACUGUUGUCGAAUCCUUGGAAUCUCUGCUUUCACCCUUAUCCAGAGUGGAUUAAGCAGAUAACUUCCAAGGCAAGAGACUCUGAUGGUGUUGUCAAGAACAAGAAUGUGGUUACAAGUAGGGGAUAUAAACUGCUUGAGCCUUGCUACAAUGACUGAAAGGAAUUCCUGUUCAGAUUGGACCUGGUGACCUCUCUUGGAUAUCCACAAUUUUCUGCACAGAAUUUCCUUCCCUACAUCUUUUGGAAUAAUAAUUCUACAGCUUCCUGUGCUACUAUGAAGAUUUAGGACUUGCAAACCCUUUUGUUGAUCCAGUAAAGACGGCAGGAAAUUUUCGUGUAGGAAGGAACUGCAGAUGCUAGUUUACACCGAAGAUAGACACAAAAUGCGGGACAGGCAGCAUCUCUAGAAAGAAGAAAUGGGUGACGUUUCUGGGUUGAUACCCUACUCCAGGAACCUUGUUGACCUUCUCAGUCUCCUUUUCCCACUAUUGUUCUGGUAGCAUUUUGGAGUAAAUUGCACACUUAGUGAUGAAUGGAAAAUUGGUGCCUUAUCUAUUUAAUUAACAACUUGUCAAACAAUACUUUCUCAGAAAUCAUAUAUUCCAUGAUUCGUUUGACUAAUCACCAAUGUCAAGGUGUAUCGAGUGUAUUUUCUUUGUUUACUGUAAAGAGAGGAGUAUAUUUUAUUUCUGUUAUCAGUGACUAGCCAAAAGAAUCACAAAAUGUAUGAUUUAGAGUCAUAGAGUGAUACAGUAUGGAAACAGGCCCUUCAGCCCAACUUGCCCACACCGGCCAACAUGUCCCAGCUACCCUCGUCCCACCUGCCCGCGUUUGGUCCACAUCCCUGCAAACUUGUCCUAUCCAUGUACUUGUCUAAACUGUUUCUUAAACGUUCGGAUAGUCCCAGCCUCUGGCAACUUGUUCCAUACACCCACCACCCUUUGUGUGAAAAAGUUACCCCUCAGAUUCCUAUUAAACCAAUGUCCUCUGGACCUCAAUCCCCCUACUCUGGGCAAGAGACUCUAUAGGUCUACCCAAUCUAUUCCUCUCAUGGUCUUAUACACCCUCUAUAAGAUCACCCCUCAACCUCCUGCGCUCCAAGGAAUAGAGUCCUAGACUGCACAACCUCUCCCUAUAGCUCAGACCCUCUAGUCCUGGCAACAUCCUUGUAAAUCUUCUCUCUACCCUUUCAAGCGUGACAAUAUCUUUCCUAUAACAUGUUGCCCAGAACUAAACACAAUACUCUAAAGAUUUAUUAGAAAGUAUUUUUUUAAAGUUAUCAAUUAAAUAGAAAAGGCACCAAUUUUCCAUUAAUCAUUAAGAGUGUCAUUUACUCCAAAAUAGCUAAUCACUCUUGUAUAUCAACAUUCAGCAGAGGGACUAACUGUUAGCCACUUGCAGAACAAGGCCCCUUGGUCUAACAUCCAUACCAACUAAGAGGUUUAACAGUGCAAGUCCCAUUUGCCUGCAUUUGGUCCAUAUCACUCACUCUAAAUCAUUCCUAUCCAUGAACCUGUCUAAAUGUUUUUUAAAUGUACGAUAUGGUGUACCUCUGGGAUUGAUGCUGUUUGUGGUUAUAUCGACGAUUUGGAUGAAAAUGUACAAGGCAUGAUUAGCAAGUUAACAGAUGACACUAAACUAAAUGAUAUUGUAGACGAUGAAUCCUGUCUAGAUCAGGUGGGCAAGUUGGCCAAGGAAUGGCAAAUGUAGUUUAAUUCAGAUAAAUGUGAGAUAUUGCAUUUUGGGAAGUCAAACCAAGGCAGGACCUUCACAGUGAAAGAUAGGGCCCUUGGAAGUGUUGCAGAACAGAUGGAUCUAGGUGUGGUAGUACAUGAUCCCUGAAAGUGGAGACACAGGUUGAAAGGUUGGUGAAGAAGUUGGCCUUCAUCAUUCAGGAAAUUGAGUGCAGAGGUUGUGACAUUAGGUUACAGUUAUACAACAUGUUUAUCAGGCUGCACAUUAUUGUGUUUCAGCUUUGGUCAUUGUGCUUUAAGAAAGAUGUUGUUAAGCUGGUGAGUGUGCAGAGAGAAUUGACAACAAUAUUGCCAGGACUCAAGGCCUGAGCAACAGAAAGAGGUUGGGUAGGCUUGGGAUGUUAUCCCUUGGAGCACAGCAAGCUGAGGAUUGAUCUGAUAGCAAUGUAUAAAAUUAUGAAGGGAAUAAAUAGAGCAAAUGCACAGAGUUUUGUUCCUUGGCUAGGGGAAUCAAGCACGAGGGCACAGGUUUACGGUGAGAGAGGAAAGAUUUAAUAGGAACCUGAGGGGCAACUUUUUACACAGAGGGAGGUUGGUAUAUGGAGCAAUCUUUCAGAGUAAAUAGCUGAGGCAGAUACAAUAACAGUUAAAAGACAUUAGGCCAGGUGCAUAGAUAGGACAGGAUUAGAGAGAUAGGAGCAAAAUGCUGUCAAAUGGAAUGAACUUAGAUAAGGCUUCUUGGUUGGCAUGGAUAAAUUGGGCCGAAUGACUAAUUUCCAUUAUGUAAGGGACCCUAUAACACAAAUUAGAAAUAUACCCUGUUGCGCAAAUCUGGUCUAAUAAGGUAGACGGGGACACAUUUUUGUGUUUGGUAAAAAGGAUACCUUUAACUUUCUUGUAUCUUUCUAUGGUUUAUGUACCACCACAUUAUUUAUGUUAAUAUUUAAACAGUGCCAAAUUAUUUGGACGUAUCCAAUUUACUGCACGAUGAUUAAAGUGUUCAGCAAUGAUUGUCGCUGUGCAGUUAAGUUCUGAAAACUGCACAGAUGGGGAUAUCAUCAUAUACAACCUAAAUCACAUUGAAAAUGCUGUUGUGAAAUAUAUUUCUGGUUUGAAGUAGUAGAUCUAAAGAACUUUAGCAGUUAAGCCCAGUUGCUGAUUCCCCAUUAUGUUUCUUUUAUGAUUAAGUAUCUUCAGAACAAAGUUUGUCUAUGCAAGGCAGAACUCACUAAUGCUGUCAAACAGUACCAACCUGCCAUCUAGUGCACAGCCAGCUGAAGUACUAUGUGCAUCUUCUUGGUCCAAGCAUUAUUGAUACUGUGCUCGUAUUAAACCAAAUACUGGCAGGAUGUUGGCCACCUGCACAGUUCAAGGGCAUUUAUGGAUUGAGUUUCUUGUUCUUAUGUAAAUUAUAACUUGAUCUUCAAAAGCUCACAAUGAGAUGUGAAAUAUAAUCAAACA